GCUUGUCUCAAAGAUUAAGCCAUGCAUGUCUAAGUACAAGCCUCAGUAAGGUGAAACCGCGAAUGGCUCAUUAAAUCACACCUAAUCUACUGGAAAGUUACUAGUUACUUGGAUAACUGAGGUAAUUCUAGAGCUAAUACAUGCGCCCAAACCCAACUUCUUGGAAGGGUUGUGUUUAUUAGAUACAGAACCAACCCAGGCUCCGCCUGGCCUUGAGGUGAUUCACAAUAACCGAACGAAUCGCAUAGCUGCCGCUGGCGAUAGACCAUUCAAGUUUCUGACCUAUCAGCUAUCGUCGGUAGGGUAUUGGCCUACCGUGGCAAUGACGGGUAACGGAGAAUUAGGGUUCGAUUCCGGAGAGGGAGCCUGAGAAACGGCUACCACAUCUAAGGAAGGCAGCAGG
rnacentral:rRNA from 1 species